UCCCGGCCCCAUUAGCUUGUUGGUGGGGUAAUGGCCUACCAAGGCGACGACGGGUAGCCGGCCUGAGAGGGCGACCGGCCACACUGGGACUGAGACACGGCCCAGACUCCUACGGGAGGCAGCAGUGGGGAAUAUUGCACAAUGGGCGAAAGCCUGAUGCAGCGACGCCGCGUGAGGGAUGACGGCCUUCGGGUUGUAAACCUCUUUCAGCAGGGAAGAAGCGAAAGUGACGGUACCUGCAGAAGAAGCGCCGGCUAACUACGUGCCAGCAGCCGCGGUAAUACGUAGGGCGCAAGCGUUGUCCGGAAUUAUUGGGCGUAAAGAGCUCGUAGGCGGCUUGUCACGUCGGAUGUGAAAGCCCGAGGCUUAACCUCGGGUCUGCAUUCGAUACGGGCUAGCUAGAGUGUGGUAGGGGAGAUCGGAAUUCCUGGUGUAGCGGUGAAAUGCGCAGAUAUCAGGAGGAACACCGGUGGCGAAGGCGGAUCUCUGGGCCAUUACUGACGCUGAGGAGCGAAAGCGUGGGGAGCGAACAGGAUUAGAUACCCUGGUAGUCCACGCCGUAAACGUUGGGAACUAGGUGUGGCGACAUCCACUCUCGGCCGAGCAGCACGACCAAGC
rnacentral:rRNA from 2 species